AGUGAACGCUGGCGGUAGGCCUAACACAUGCAAGUCGAACGGCAGCACAGUAAGAGCUUGCUCUUACGGGUGGCGAGUGGCGGACGGGUGAGGAAUACAUCGGAAUCUACUUUUUCGUGGGGGAUAACGUAGGGAAACUUACGCUAAUACCGCAUACGACCUACGGGUGAAAGCAGGGGAUCUUCGGACCUUGCGCGAUUGAAUGAGCCGAUGUCGGAUUAGCUAGUUGGCGGGGUAAAGGCCCACCAAGGCGACGAUCCGUAGCUGGUCUGAGAGGAUGAUCAGCCACACUGGAACUGAGACACAGUCCAGACUCCUACGGGAGGCAGCAGUGGGGAAUAUUGGACAAUGGGGGCAAGCCUGAUCCAGCCAUACCGCGUGAGUGAAGAAGGCCUUCGGGUUGUAAAGCCCUUUUGUUGGGAAAGAAAAGCAGCAGGUUAAUACCCCGCUGUUCUGACGGUACCCAAAGAAUAAGCACCGGCUAACUUCGUG
rnacentral:rRNA from 1 species